rnacentral:lncRNA from 1 species
CUGUUAAAAAUCAUUUAAUAGAAAGUCCAAUGUCAAAAUGUAACAAUAAACAAAAAUACACAUGUAUAAAUAUGUAUAUAGAAUUAGACCUGUACACUUUCUCAGACCGUUUUCAAAAGGAAACAGAAUCAUCAUCUCAUCUUGGUGGUCAAAUAAAAAAUAAUAUUCAAGCGACGUGGACCCACUGGUGCCGUGGGGAUUAGUACUGCGGAAGCACUUUGAGGGUUCAAAGAAUUCCAAUCAUGAGUGCGCCGGGGCUAUUACCAACUGUCCUUUUCUAGAGACCCAGAGAGGGAAGCCGAGCAGCCCCGGGGCUCCGUACAGCGAAUCUGAUCUGCCCUUGGUACCUACAGCCACUGCUGUCUAGAGACAGCUCUCCUAUUGGAUGGGGGUUUUGAAUUGUUUGCGUUUAUGCUGUUUGAGAGUUUGCUUGUCCUGGCUCCCAGGUUAGAAGCGCCUGGGAAUUCUACUUUCUUAUUCCACAGGCUCACAGUGGUUUGGGAUGGAUGCUAUCAAGGUGUGCUGAUUUGCUCUUAAAAUAGUGGUGUCCAAAAUGGGUGUGCACCUACCAGGAAGCAUCCACACUUUCUGGGGUUCAGCGAGAAAAUACAAGAACCCCUGUUUGUAUUUUGUAUUUAUGCCUUACAAAGUUCUCUGUCGUGUACUUUAAAAAAUGUGCCUAAUAUAUAAGUGCAGGAGUACAGGAAUCUAUGCUGUAAAUAAAAUAAUGGACACCCAGAAGGGCGCCUCUUACAAGGUGUGUGCUGAUAGGCGUGUGCGGUCUAGACAGGUGGGCACUCACUGAACAGAAAGCACACACGUGCGGAGGGAGUGCAGGGGCGGCUGCCCUGCCCACCAGAGGCAGCCUCUGCGGGGGCUCAGAGGAGCAACGCCUCAGGACUCCCGCCCAGGUCCAAAUGGGAGCAGACACCUCCUACCUAAUCCCUCCGCUAGACUUUAAUUGAAUGUAAGGCCUUAUCUUAAAUAAACACAAAUGCCCUUGGAGAGCAAAUACGCAGCCACCGACACCUGGCAGGGAAGCAUUUUGAUCUCUUCCUGGUGGUAGAGGGAACUGGACUGGACCAGACCGCGCUGGGGUGGGCGGGCAGCAGGGGCGCUACGGCAAACCUGGCCACAUCCCAUGGCCACACCUCCCACCAAGGGGACCUUCUGGGGCCUUUGUUUUAAAGUCGGUGUAUCUGAGGCCACAUGUUGGUCAAUUUCCAGCAUCAUGACUGCCACAGGCCAGAUUCUAAUCAAAACGCCUAGGCUGAUGGGGUACUUGCGUGGGAACCACAAGACACAGAACUAGAAAUUCCUCAUCUUUGAGCUACAAUCUUUCCAAGGGUCCAGAAGGCUGGAGAAGAUGCCAGGCUGCACCCAGGAGGGCAGGUGUGGGGGACCUGAAGAACAGGUGAGCCCCAAGCGGUACUCAGGACCCUUUGGGAUCCCCGGGCAGGAGACCUGAGCCACUCAGCUAGGAAAGCUGCCUUCAGCCCCCAGUGCCUCCAACUUCUCAAGGAAACUGUUACUCGUUGGGGCCUUUUCUUGAGGUGCUAGAAACCAUGCUGCCUCAUAGCUAGUGUUCUCGAUUCAUCGGAUUCUUUUUCUUCUUAUAGAGUUUCUACUUAUUUGUCUGGGGGCAAGGGGAAGAGAAACCCAAUGCCCUGAGCUCUGAGUAGGUUCCUUGGAGAACCUAAAAGGCACUGCGGGUUGUCUCCACAGAGACUCCACUGUCUCUGAGCCUCCUCCGCAUCUUCACCCAAAGAGCGCAGGGCCCCGACAGCCUCCCUGGCCCCAUGAGGCUCAAUGCCGCUGUCUAGGCUUGUGGGUAUUUUCCACGUGCAUACAAUCCAUCUGUGCUUUUUAAAAAAUUCCCUUUUCUAUGGCAGGACAUGGCUGUACCCUGCAGACACAGCAGAGGCUUGGCCACCAGGUGUGACCCGGCGCAGGGAAAGGCUGUCCAAGGGAGGUCGCCUCGCGAUAGAUUGAAGGAAAGCAUCACAGCUGAGUCUGGAAGCCUCGGCUGCUUCCUCCGUGUUUAGCUGAGGGUGUACCCUCACCCUGGGGCUUGGCCAGCCUGCCCCCAAGAGCUAUUUUUAGCCUUGGUGGCUCUAUAGACAGGUCAUGAGACCCGGAGCUGUUCCCAGUAUGUCUCUAAAGCCAGCCCAGGCCAAAGCCCUGGAAUUCAAACAGCUUUAGGCGAUCUGGAGCUGGGACACAAGCAGAGGGAAUAAAUCACCUCAGGAAGCCACUACGCACCUGCAGAGCAGGGGUGGGGCGCAGGGGGGGAGUCCGGGUGCUGAUGGUGGCCGCACCUGCCUCUCUGGGUGGCCUCAGCAGUGGUUUUGGAGGGCAGAGCAUCACCUACAGCUCAUCAUUACUCCCCCAGAAUCCAUAGCAAAGACCGUGGGGCCUCCAGGACUGGCCAUUGACUGCCCUGGCCUCUCCUCUCCUACCUCCUCCAUUCCCAGCUCCAGCUGCUAGAUGGGACACAGGCCCUGGCAGCCCCCAAGUGUCCCUCCUUUGGUCCAAGACCCACGCUGUCCUCUGAGCCUGGAAGGCCCUUUGCAAUGCUUCCCGCUCAGGACUCUGACAAACUUGGGCUUUAACGUUCUCCAUUUAGGAAGCCCCCAAUUCCCAAAGCUGAGCUGCCCCUCUGAGAUGCUCCCACAGCACCCAGUCAUCGCCUACAGGGGCCCUUCCCACACUGUCUUCCUAACAGCUGGCUCCGUGAGAACAAGAGCCGGGCUGGGGUCAACCGUGUCCCACUGGCUCAGUGCCUGGACGGUCCUAGGGGCUCCACAUCAUCUGCUGAAUGCACGCGUCCUCGACACUGGGGGAGGCAGUGCUAAAAAUGCUACACCUGGGCCCAUCUCGAUGAAGGGGCCUUCACUGCCCGCAUCCCAGUAGAGCCGCAGCAGUGCAGGGCCAUCCUGGAAGAGUAGGGGAGUGUGAGAGACACGCACCUGGCCUGUGUCCUGAGGGAUGCGUCCUACAUGCGCCUGGAAUUGGGGAAGGAUGCCAGCCGCAGGGUCCAGGCUGGUGCCCAGGGGAGUGAAACACCUGGCACGGGGGAAGGGGGGCAGGGCAGGAUGGCCGGCAGACCUCCAUCCUCCUCUCCCAGUCUAACCGCGAGUUCAUGAGCGUGAUGGCUCAGCCCUUCCUCCAUGGUAUUUUUAUAAUUACACCAGCCCCUUCCUCGGCUUUAUCUUAGGGAUUACAAAAAGGCAAAAUGCAGCUCUUCCUUGAAGUACUUCAAUGAUGAAGUAGUUAUAUUUUCUUCUUCAUGGUAUCUUUCUGUGGUGUGUGCGUGUGUGUUAGGAAAUUGAUCCAAAUUUAGAGUCCUAAUAAGGCAGCUGCCUGAUUCUGCUCCAGGAAAAUAGAUACAAAAAUUUAAAAAUGACUUUGCAUCUUGCUCUGAAGGGAAAAGCUGGCUCAAAAUCUCUUCCAAAACUUCCCUUGCUCACUUGACUGUCAAGGGAGAACAGUCCCUGAAGAUCUGGACUGAAAGGCCGGGGAACCAGGGGCUGUUCUACCACCUCUGAGUCUAACUCCAGGGGUCCCCAAGGCUCUGGAGCUAUUCUCCACCCUAGGGACCCGAAGGCGGUUCUGGUUGAGCUCCCGGUGUUCUUUUUACUGCCUCUUGGCUGUACUCAAUCAAGUGUAAAGACUCGGGCUAAAAAUAACCCCUAGAAAGGAAAGCAGGCAGAAGUCAGGGUAGAGAGGGAAGAUGGUAUUAGAAUGCGGCCUUCGGUUUAGGGGUGAAUCUUGCUGAAUUAAAGCCAUUUCUCUAGCUUCCGAGAGAUAAACCAUUUCCUACAAGAUCUUGAAAGCAUGGGACAGUUAACAUGUUAGAAAGAGGCGGGAAUCUCGGGGACAGUUUUCAUAAGAAAACUGGGUAUAGCACCCCCUUGACACAAGGAAAUUCUCUUGAUUCUUUCAAGUUAAAUAAGUGAGGGUGGAGGCUGGUCCCCUCCAGGCAGCACCUUUAACAGUUGCUAUGGAGACAUGACUCAUCUUCUUUACAGGUGCCUUUAGAAGCAAGGAGAGGAACUUGGGAAUUCUUGGGCUCUUCUGACCUUGGAACAGUUUUGUUUUUGUUUUUUGCUUUUUAGGGCCGCAGGUGUGGCACAUGGAAGUUCCCAGGCUCGGGGUCAAAUCAGAACUACAGCCAUAGCCAUGAUAGAUUUGAGCCGCAUCUGUGACCUAUACCCCAGCUCACGGCAGCGCCGGAUCCUUGACCCACUGAGUGAGGCCAGGGAUCGAACCUGCAUCCUUAUGGAUACUAGUUGGGGUUGUUUCUGCUGAGCCACAAUGGGAACUCCUGAGGAACGAGUUUUUUAAAUGCUUAUCCAAGUCACUACAUGACUAUCCAAAACAUUUAAGGUCUUGAAAGGGAUUCAUAUCUAGCUUCUAUGCUUAAACUAGCCUGGAAAAUACAGAGCCCCCAGUCCUAAGAUUAAAAAGAGACACAAAAACCCUAGCCCACAAGAAAGGAUUUCAAAUGAAUGGUCCGGGCACUGCCUUUCCUCCACUUUUGGAGAUCAGAUUCCCCUCAAGUUCUCUCCAGGUGAGAGUUUUUUCACCUUAAAAAAGAUGCAUCCUGGGAUGAAACAAGCCUUGGGACCCAGGAGAGAAAU